GGACACACAGCCUUCCAGAAUGAGCAAGACAAAGAGUCUGGGGUUCAGCCACUCCAGGAAAGAAAGAGUACAAGGAGAGCAGCCAGAAGACACAGUUUCCACAAUGUAAUCCUGAAAAUGAGACAGAGAACAGACUGGACAUGUUAGAGGAAAUUAUAAUUCAUGGCCUUCUGUGUAGACUCUCCUCAUCCAUUGAAUUAGGCAAGAAAAUGACCUGCCACUAUUGUCCUUUUACAUAGGAGGCAACAAAUCACUCUCUGCUCCACCUGUCUCUUCCACUUCACAUACGAAAGAGAAUCACGGGGAGCUUGGAGCCUAGCCCAGGGGACUCUGGGCACAAGGCAGGGGACACACUGGACGGGGUACCAACCCAUCGCAGAGCACAACUGCACACACACUCACACACCCAUUCAUACACUACAGACAAUUUAGAGAUGCCACUCAGCCUACAAAGAAUGACUUUGGACUGGGGGAGGAAAUCAGAGUACCCAGAGGAAACCCCCGAAGCACAGGGAGAACAUGCAACCUCCACGCACACAGGGUGGAGGCAGGAUUCAAACCCCCAACCCUGGACGUGCAGGGGGAAAGGGGAAGAAAAAAAAAAAAAAAACAUGAAACCAUGAACCAUCUUAAUUAUUUCAGCUAAAUUUAAAAAAAAGUAUAGUUGUUAAUAAGGUGCAGUUUUCUGUAAGGAGAUGUUUAACAUUUAUGGAAGGAAUCUCCAGUGUCAGUGCUUUGUAACAGUCAGAGUUUGAAGAAAGUCUUCUGGACAGAUGUACUUUGAGCUUUGCUGAUGAGGGAAUGGCUGUUUAUAGCUGUUAU